UACGUAGGGUGCGAGCGUUAAUCGGAAUUACUGGGCGUAAAGCGUGCGCAGGCGGUUCGUUGUGUCGGCGGUGAAAGCCCCGGGCUCAACCUGGGAAUGGCCGUUGAAACUGGCGAACUGGAGUGUGGCAGAGGGGGGUGGAACUCCGCGUGUAGCAGUGAAAUGCGUAGAGAUGCGGAGGAACACCGAUGGCGAAGGCAGCCCCCUGGGCUGACACUGACGCUCAGGCACGAAAGCGUGGGGAGCAAACAGG
rnacentral:rRNA from 1 species